UACGGGGGGGGCAAGCGUUGUUCGGAAUUACUGGGCGUAAAGGGCUCGUAGGCGGCCAACUAAGUCGGACGUGAAAUCCCUCGGCUUAACCGGGGAACUGCGUCCGAUACUGGAUGGCUGGAGGUUGGGAGAGGGAUGCGGAAUUCCAGGUGUAGCGGUGAAAUGCGUAGAUAUCUGGAGGAACACCGGUGGCGAAGGCGGCAUCCUGGACCGACACUGACGCUGAGGAGCGAAAGCCAGGGGAGCAAACGGG
rnacentral:rRNA from 1 species